rnacentral:rRNA from 1 species
UACGAGGGGGGCAAAUGUUGUUCGGAAUCACUGGGCGUAAAGGGAGCGUAGGCGGGUUCUUAAGUUAGGUGUUUAAUCCCGGGGCCCAACCCCGGACCGGCACUUAAAACUGGGAAUCUUGAAUAGUGGAGAGGUCAGUGGAAUUGGGGGUGUAGCGGUGGAAUGCGUAGAGAUCCCCAAGAACACCAGUUGCGAAGGCGGCUGACUGGACACAUAUUGACGCUGAGGCUCGAAAGCACGGGGAGCAAACAGG